rnacentral:lncRNA from 1 species
UCUCCGGCGAUCCAGAUCUGGAUCUAGGGUUUUUCUCCAUCACGUUUCUACUACUACAUUUCCUCAUGGAAAUCAUUGGAAUCAAACUCAGUCUAGGUUAGAGUACACAAAUAUGGAGAAACAACAUUUGUGCCAUGUCUUAUGCUACUGAUUCGCUUCAGAUCCGGACAUAGAUUUUAUUCCAAGACAUCAGUUUAAGAUUCUUCAAGUUUUGUGAAGAGCGGUCUAAUUUACUCGACACCCAGAGGUGCUAAGGUUCAACUAUUUUCAAGGUUUCUUUCUUACGUACCUCAGAACUUAUCACGUUAAGUUGUGUUGUUGAUCUGAACAAAUACGCACACGAAAGCUUGAAGUCGAAUGAAUCAGAGACAGAGGUCUAAAGCUACAUAUGGAGUUCUUCUUGCUGCAAAUGUCCAACCAACAUAUGAGAGUUCUUGCUGUUGAUGAUAAUCCAACUUGUUUGAAAUUAUAGGAGGGUCUUUUGAGAAAAUGCCAAUAUCAAGUCACAACAAUCAAGCAAUAACAGCACUGAGUAUGUUGAGAGAGAAUUGAAACAGAUUUGAUUUGAUCAUCAAUGAUGUUUACAUGCCAGACAUGGAUGGUUUCAAGCUUCUUGAACUCGUUGGGCUCGAAAUGGAUUUACCAGUCAUCAUGUUAUCAGGAAACGAUGACCGGAAUCUUGCGAUGAAAGGGAUCACUCAUGGCGCUUUGAUCAUCUCGUGAAACCGGUUCGCCUUGAGGAGCUACGUAACAUAUGGCAGCAGGUGAUCAGGUGAAAAGUUGAGUCAAAAUCACAGUCAAAGUCAAAACACAACCAUGAAAAAUCAGAUUAAGGGAACAAAGGUGGAGAUCAGAACGAGAAGUUGAACCGAAAACGAAAAGAUGAAG